UACGUAGGGGGCAAGCGUUGUCCGGAAUCACUGGGCGUAAAGCGCGCGCAGGCGGUCAUCUACGUCUGGGGUGAAAGCCCGGAGCUCAACUCCGGGACUGCCUUGGAUACGGGAUGACUUGAGGAUCGGAGAGGCAAGGGGAAUUCCCGGUGUAGCGGUGAAAUGCGUAGAGAUCGGGAGGAACAUCAGUGGCGAAGGCGGCCAUCUGGGACAACACUGACGCUGAAGCACGAAAGCGUGGGGAGCAAACAGG
rnacentral:rRNA from 1 species